UGGACAGAUUAUUGUAUUCGAUUGUAUUCACAGCGUGAAACAGGGGAUUACACUGUUUUUAAAUGGAAAGUGAAUCAAUUAACAUAAUAGACUCCU
rnacentral:pre_miRNA from 1 species